rnacentral:rRNA from 1 species
GACGAACGCUGGCGGCGUGCCUAAUACAUGCAAGUAGAACGCUGAAGAGAGGAGCUUGCUCUUCUUGGAUGAGUUGCGAACGGGUGAGUAACGCGUAGGUAACCUGCCUUGUAGCGGGGGAUAACUAUUGGAAACGAUAGCUAAUACCGCAUAACAAUAGGUGACACAUGUUAUUUAUUUGAAAGGGGCAAUUGCUCCACUACAAGAUGGACCUGCGUUGUAUUAGCUAGUAGGUGAGGUAACGGCUCACCUAGGCGACGAUACAUAGCCGACCUGAGAGGGUGAUCGGCCACACUGGGACUGAGACACGGCCCAGACUCCUACGGGAGGCAGCAGUAGGGAAUCUUCGGCAAUGGGGGCAACCCUGACCGAGCAACGCCGCGUGAGUGAAGAAGGUUUUCGGAUCGUAAAGCUCUGUUGUAAGUCAAGAACGAGUGUGAGAGUGGAAAGUUCACACUGUGACGGUAGCUUACCAGAAAGAGACGGCUAACUACGUG